rnacentral:tRNA from 1 species
GGAGAGAUGGCCGAGUGGCUGAAGGCGCACGCUUGGAAAGCGUGUUUACUCGUAAGGGUAACCAGGGUUCGAAUCCCUGUCUCUCCGCCA